AGCAGCCGCGGUAAUUCCAGCUCCAAUAGCGUAUAUUAAAGUUGUUGCAGUUAAAAAGCUCGUAGUUGAAUUUCGGGAUCAAUAUUUCGGUCAUGCCGUUGGUAUGCACUGUUAUCAUUGAUUUCUCACCUUCUAAAGAACCGUAAUGCCAUUAAUUUGGUGUUACGGGGAAUUAGGACUGUUACCUUGAAAAAAUUAGAGUGUUUAAAGCAGGCUCACGCUUGAAUACAUUAGCAUGGAAUAAUGAAAUAGGACAUCCGAUUCUAUUUUGUUGGUUUCUAGGAUCGAUGUAAUGAUUAAUAGGGAUAGUUGGGGGCAUUAGUAUUCAAUUGUCAGAGGUGAAAUUCUUGGAUUUAUUGAAGACUAACUACUGCGAAAGCAUUUGCCAAGGAUGUUUUCAUUAAUCAAGAACGAAAGUUAGGGGAUCGAAGACGAUCAGAUACCGUCGUAGUCUUAACCAUAAACUAUGCCGACUAGGGAUCGGAUGAUGUUAAUUUUUAANGACUCAUUC
rnacentral:rRNA from 1 species